rnacentral:rRNA from 1 species
CGAGGGGGGUAAGCGUUGUUCGGAAUUACUGGGCGUAAAGGGUUCGUAGGUGGCUUGCUAAGUCUGACGUGAAAUCCCUCAGCUUAACUGGGGAACUGCGUCUGAUACUGGCGAGCUUGAGUGCAGGAGAGGAACGCGGAAUUCCAGGUGUAGCGGUGAAAUGCGUAGAUAUCUGGAGGAACACCGGUGGCGAAGGCGGCGUUCUGGACUGCAACUGACACUGAGGAACGAAAGCCAGGGGAGCAAACGGGAUUAGAUACCCCGGUAGUCCUGGCCCUAAACGAUGAAUGCUUGGUGUGGCGGGUAUCGAUCCCCGCUGUGCCGAAGUUAACGCGUUAAGCAUUCCGCCUGGGGAGUACGGUCGCAAGGCUG